rnacentral:rRNA from 1 species
GACGAACGCUGGCGGCGUGCCUAAUACAUGCAAGUAGAACGCUGAAGGAAGGAGCUUGCUCUUUCUGGAUGAGUUGCGAACGGGUGAGUAACGCGUAGGUAACCUGCCUGGUAGCGGGGGAUACUAUUGGAAACGAUAGCUAAUACCGCAUAAAAUUGAUUAUUGCAUGAUAGUCAAUUAAAAGGGGCAAAUGCACCAACACCAGAAGGACCUGCGUUGUAUUAGCUAGUUGGGGGGGUAACGGCUCACCAAGGCGACGAUACAUAGCCGACCUGCGAGGGUGAUCGGCCACACUGGGACUGAGACACGGCCCAGACUCCUACGGGAGGCAGCAGUAGGGAAUCUUCGGCAAUGGACGGAAGUCUGACCGAGCAACGCCGCGUGAGUGAAGAAGGUUUUCGGAUCGUAAAGCUCUGUUGUAAGAGAAGAACGAGUGUGAGAGUGGAAAGUUCACACUGUGACGGUAUCUUACCAGAAAGGGACGGCUAACUACGUG